GCCUUGGUUCAAUGGUAGAAUGCUGGAUUGCUACUCGGGCAACCCGGGUUUGAUCCCCGGCCAACGCACCA